rnacentral:rRNA from 1 species
UACGGAGGAUGCAAGCGUUAUCCGGAUUUAUUGGGUUUAAAGGGUGCGUAGGCGGGGCUUUAAGUCAGUGGUGAAAUCUUGCAGCUUAACUGUAAAAUUGCCAUUGAUACUGAAGUUCUUGAGUGCGGUUGAAGUAGGCGGAAUGUGUAAUGUAGCGGUGAAAUGCUUAGAGAUUACACAGAACACCGAUUGCGUAGGCAGCUUACUAAGCCGUAACUGACGCUGAGGCACGAAAGUGUGGGGAUCGAACAGG